UUAGCGACUACGCAACGGAUUUAUUCAAGGAACAGUCAUGGCCCGUAUUGCUGGCAUUAACAUUCCGCCG
rfam:Achromobacter insuavis AXX-A genomic scaffold scaffold00003, whole genome shotgun sequence.